rnacentral:sRNA from 1 species
CCCCGGAUUCUCAUCCGGGGCUGUCGCAUUCCGUCGCGUUGCGACU